GACGAACGCUGGCGGCGUGCUUAACACAUGCAAGUCGAACGGAAAGGCCCUGCUUUUGUGGGGUGCUCGAGUGGCGAACGGGUGAGUAACACGUGAGUAACCUGCCCUUGACUUUGGGAUAACUUCAGGAAACUGGGGCUAAUACCGGAUAGGAGCUCCUGCUGCAUGGUGGGGGUUGGAAAGUUUCGGCGGUUGGGGAUGGACUCGCGGCUUAUCAGCUUGUUGGUGGGGUAGUGGCUUACCAAGGCUUUGACGGGUAGCCGGCCCGAGAGGGUGACCGGGCACAGUACGACUGAGAUACGGACCAGACUCGUACGGUAGACAGCAGUGGGGAAUAUUGCACAAUGGGCGGAAGCCUGAUGAAGCAACGCCGCGUGCGGGAUGACGUCCUUCGGGUUGUAAACCGCAUUCGCCUGUGACGAAGCGUGAGUGACGGUAAUGAAUGAAGAAGCACCGGCUAACUACGUG
rnacentral:rRNA from 1 species